rnacentral:rRNA from 1 species
CAGUAGCCGCGGUAAUACGAAGGGGGCUAGCGUUGUUCGGAAUCACUGGGCGUAAAGGGUGCGUAGGCGGGAUCUUAAGUCAGGGGUGAAAUCCCGGGGCUCAACCUCGGAACUGCAUUUGUGACUGUAGAGCUGGAGUGCGGCAGAGGGGGAUGGAAUUCCGCGUGUAGCAGUGAAAUGCGUAGAUAUGCGGAGGAACACCGAUGGCGAAGGCAACCCCCUGGGCCUGCACUGACGCUCAUGCACGAAAGCGUGGGGAGCAAACAGGAUUAGAGACCCGUGUAGUCCCUGUCUCUUAUAC